GUUUCAAUUCCUCAUAGGCAGGCUAUCGGCCCAAGGCCGCGGGGAAGGCGCGGUGGGUAUUAAUGACG
rnacentral:sRNA from 1 species